GGACCCACCUGACUCCAUGCCGAACUCAGAAGUGAAACGCAAUAGCGCCGAUGGUAGUGUGGGGCUUCCCCAUGUGAGAGUAGGACAUCGCCAGGC
rnacentral:rRNA from 2 species